rnacentral:lncRNA from 1 species
AUGAACGGGGACUAAUUGGCAUUUAUCAUGACUGGUACGUACAACUAUUGAAACAACCCUAUCUUUUGAAUAGUAUUGUCAUCUGAAAGGAAGCACUUGAUAUAUAACCUGAUAUUAAUAACUAUUGAAACAACCCUAUCUUUUGAAAAGAAUUGUCUUACGAAAGGACGCGCUUGAUAUAUAACCUGAUAUUAAUAUUCCUUUGUGCUUUCAUUAUUUGCUUUACUACUUCUAGCUUAGGUAGAGAAAAUGUUAAGGUCUAGAGCUUAAGAGGAUAAUAAAAUCAGAUUCUACCGGGUUAAAUAUGUAACAGAAAGAGAUGCCUUAAACUUCAAAUCACAUUUCAUGUUUGAUGUAAUCAUCUCUUAAGAUUCUGUGAAAAUAUAUCACAAAUGCACCUAAGGCAAAGAGUUGUUUUAUUUGUUUCUAUCAGA